UUAAGUUAAUAAGGGCUCAUGGUGGAUGCCUUGGUGUCAGGAGGCGAAGAAGGACGUGGUCAGCUGCGAUAAGCCUCGGUUAGCUGCAAGCGAGCGUCUGAUCCGGGGAUUUCCGAAUGGGGCAACCUACCAUGGAUAAUACUGUGGUAUCCGUGGCCCAAUAAAAUAAGCCACGGAAGCUAUACCCGGGGAACUGAAACAUCUUAGUACCCGGAGGAAAAGAAAGCAACAGCGAUUCCCCCAGUAGCGGCGAGCGAACGGGGAUCUAGCCUAAACCGUCGAUGUGUUGGUAAUCUGCCGAUGCUGCAUUGGCGGGGUUGUGGGUUUAACCUGUGUGUGGUCGGCGGGCUGCACGAAGAAGUUACCAACCGUCAUGGUAGACGAAGUGUCUGGAAUGGCACACCGUAGAGGGUAACAGUCCUGUAGUUCAAACCGUGAUGGCUUCUUUGGGUUAAUACCCGAGUAGCGCGGGGCACGAGGAAUCCCGUGUGAAUCUGGGAGGACCACCUUCCAAGGCUAAAUACUACCUGACGACCGAUAGUGAACCAGUACCGUGAGGGAAAGGUGAAAAGCACCCCGGGAGGGGAGUGAAAUAGAACCUGAAACCAUGAGCCUACAAUCAGUCAGAGCACUAUUGGUUCAUUAAUGAACCAAGUGUGAUGGCGUACUUUUUGUAGCACGGGCCGGCGAGUUAUGGUUGGCAGCGAGGCUAAGGGACUCACGUUCUGGAGCCGUAGCGAAAGCGAGUCUGAACAGGGCGUUUCAGUUGCCAGUCAUAGACCCGAAACCGAGUGAUCUACCCAUGGCCAGGGUGAAGCUUAGGUGAAACUAAGUGGAGGCCCGCACCCACCGAUGCUGAAAAAUCGGGGGAUGAGCUGUGGGUAGGGGUGAAAAGCCAAGCGAACUCGGAGAUAGCUGGUUCUCCCCGAAAUAGCUUUAGGGCUAGCCUCAAGGGUUAGUCUACGGAGGUAGAGCACUGAUUGGGCUAGGGGCCCAAUAAGGUUACUGACCCCAUUCAAACUCCGAAUGCCGUAGAUGUAGACCUUGGGAGUCAGACUGCGGGUGAUAAGAUUCGUAGUCGAGAGGGAAACAGCCCAGACCGACAGCUAAGGUCCCCAAUGCGGACUAAGUGUCAAAGGAAGUGGGACUGCCCAGACAACCAGGAUGUUGGCUUAGAAGCAGCCACCAUUUAAAGAGUGCGUAAUAGCUCACUGGUCGAGUGAUUCUGCGCCGAAAAUUCAACGGGGCUCAAGUCUGCUACCGAAGCUUCGGAUCCUGAGAUUUAACUUGUUAGAUUUUGGGGUGGUAGGGGAGCGUUUUACAAGCGCUGAAGCCGUAUCGCAAGAAGCGGUGGAGUUUGUAAAAGUGAGAAUGCCGGUAUGAGUAACGAUAAGACAGGUGAGAAUCCUGUCCGCCGCAAGCCUAAGGUUUCCUGAGGAAGGUUCGUCCGCUCAGGGUAAGCCGGGACCUAAGCCGAGGCCGAAAGGCGUAGGCGAUGGACAACUGGUGGAGAUUCCAGUGCCACCUUUGGACCGUUAUCAGCGAUGGGGUGACGCAGGAGGGUAGGUAUAGCGCACUGUUGGUUCUAGUGCGUCCAAGCGUGUAGGAAGAGUUGGCAGGCAAAUCCGCCGACUUGCUAAUUCCGAGGCGUGAUGGGGAGUGAAAAAUUACAAGUAACGAACUAGCUGAUCCCAUGCUGCCGAGAAAAACCUCUAGUGAGGUCCAUUGGUGCCCGUACCGUAAACCGACACAGGUAGGCGGGGAGAGUAUCCUCAGGCGCGCGGGAGAACCCUCGUUAAGGAACUCGGCAAACUGACCCCGUAACUUAGGGAGAAGGGGUGCCCCGUCAGGGUGAAGUUAUUUACUGAUGGAGCCCGAGGGGGUUGCAAUAAAGAGGCCCAAGCGACUGUUUAUCAAAAACACAGGUCUCUGCUAAGUCGCAAGACGAUGUAUAGGGGCUGAUGUCUGCCCGGUGCUGGAAGGUUAAGAGGAGGGGUGCAAGCUCUGAAUCCAAGCCCCAGUAAACGGCGGCCGUAACUAUAACGGUCCUAAGGUAGCGAAAUUCCUUGUCGGGUAAGUUCCGACCUGCACGAAAGGCAUAACGACUUGGGCGCUGUCUCAACGAGGGACCCGGUGAAAUUGUAUUACCAGUGAAGAUGCUGGUUACCCACGACAAGACGGAAAGACCCCGUGGAGCUUUACUGUAGCCUGAUAUUGGGCUUUGGUGUUGGACGUACAGGAUAGGUGGGAGGCUUGGAAACCGAAGCGCCAGUUUCGGUGGAGCCAUCCUUGGGAUACCACCCUUUCAAGAUUGAAGUUCUAACCUUGAGCCGUCAGCCGGUUUGGGGACAUUGUCAGGUGGGCAGUUUGACUGGGGCGGUCGCCUCCCAAAAGGUAACGGAGGCGCCCAAAGGUUCCCUCAGCGCGGUUGGAAAUCGCGCGCAGAGUGUAAAGGCAGAAGGGAGCUUGACUGUGAGACCGACGGGUCGAUCAGGGUCGAAAGACGGGCUUAGUGAUCCGGUGGUUCCGGGUGGAAGGGCCAUCGCUCAACGGAUAAAAGCUACCCCGGGGAUAACAGGCUUAUCUCCCCCAAGAGUUCACAUCGACGGGGAGGUUUGGCACCUCGAUGUCGGCUCAUCGCAUCCUGGGGCUGAAGCAGGUCCCAAGGGUUGGGCUGUUCGCCCAUUAAAGCGGUACGCGAGCUGGGUUCAGAACGUCGUGAGACAGUUCGGUCCCUAUCUGUCGUGGGCGCAGGAAACUUGAAGGGAGCUGCCCCUAGUACGAGAGGACCGGGGUGGACGAACCUCUGGUCUACCAGUUGUUCCGCCAGGAGCACCGCUGGGUAGCUAUGUUCGGAAGGGAUAAGCGCUGAAAGCAUCUAAGCGCGAAGCCUACCCUGAGAUGAGGUUUCCCUAUCCCGUGCCUCGGCACGGGAUCAAGACCCCAGAAAGAAGAUCUGGUCGAUAGGCCGGAAGUGUAAGAGCAGCAAUGCUUUCAGCUAACCGGUACUAAUAGGUCGAGGACUUGAUCUG
rnacentral:rRNA from 1 species